GUUGAGUGACUGAUUAAGAAUUACCUUUUAUUCAGAUGAAGAAGUUUGAUUGUAUAGUUGUGAGUGUACACAUGAAGGCUACAGGAUUAGCUAAUGAAGACUUAAACAGACUUCAGGAAGAAAUAGAUCAAGUACCACAACUGAUCAAAGCAUUAGAACAACAAUAUCCAGGUAAAAAAGAGGAAGAAGAUGUGACAAUCAAAAUUAAUAAGUCAAAGAAACACAAGUCAAUACCAUUGUCAAAUAUGAAAACAAUGAAAAAAACAAAGAACAGUCAAAACACAAACAAGGGUAUCAUCUAAUAUAUAAAGAUUCUACGGCUGCAUCAACUGUGAUAUGAUAUUUAUCCUUGGAGACAGUUAAAUUUUCAAAUUUAAAACCCCAGUGAAGAAACGCUACACAGAAAACAUAGAAUUGACAACAUAAACCAAACUAAACCAUUAUAUUUUGAAAAAUAAAAAAUAAAAAAUAUAGACACCAAGGGUCAUUAUAAAGACAUCAAAAUCUUAAAAAUGAAAGAAUUGCAAUUUUCUUCUUAACACACAUAUAGGAUGAUAAUUAUAAAAGUAGUCACACAUUCCUGAUGUACGGUUCUACUCUUCACUAAUUUGACAACUUUAUACAUGUACAACAUAAGAGAGUACACAGCAAAUAAUGGAUGACACAAAAGUUUAUAAUUUUACAAGACUACAAACUUGAUGUACUAAAGUAAUAAUAUUAGAUGAUAUAUACAUGUAUAUGCAAAUGAAAUUUUCAGUUCUGUUAAUAAUAAUGUAAUUUUUCAGGGGAAGAAGAUAUUAUUAUGUUAGGGGAUUUCAAUUUAGAUCCACAGAAAGAAGGUAUGUAUUGCAAGUCA
rnacentral:lncRNA from 1 species